ACAUGCAAGUCGAGCGAACUGAUUAGAAGCUUGCUUCUAUGACGUUAGCGGCCCCACGGGUGAGUAACACGUGGGCAACCUGCCUGUAAGACUGGGAUAACUUCGGGAAACCGAAGCUAAUACCGGAUAGGAUCUUCUCCUUCAUGGGAGAUGAUUGAAAGAUGGUUUCGGCUAUCACUUACAGAUGGGCCCGCGGUGCAUUAGCUAGUUGGUGAGGUAACGGCUCACCAAGGCAACGAUGCAUAGCCGACCUGAGAGGGUGAUCGGCCACACUGGGACUGAGACACGGCCCAGACUCCUACGGGAGGCAGCAGUAGGGAAUCUUCCGCAAUGGACGAAAGUCUGACGGAGCAACGCCGCGUGAGUGAUGAAGGCUUUCGGGUCGUAAAACUCUGUUGUUAGGGAAGAACAAGUACAAGAGUAACUGCUUGUACCUUGACGGUACCUAACCAGAAAGCCACGGCUAACUACGUGCCAGCAGCCGCGGUAAUACGUAGGUGGCAAGCGUUAUCCGGAAUUAUUGGGCGUAAAGCGCGCGCAGGCGGUUUCUUAAGUCUGAUGUGAAAGCCCACGGCUCAACCGUGGAGGGUCAUUGGAAACUGGGGAACUUGAGUGCAGAAGAGAAAAGCGGAAUUCCACGUGUAGCGGUGAAAUGCGUAGAGAUGUGGAGGAACACCAGUGGCGAAGGCGGCUUUUUGGUCUGUAACUGACGCUGAGGC
rnacentral:rRNA from 2 species